rnacentral:siRNA from 1 species
UUAGUUGUUCUUAAUGCCUAUC